rnacentral:rRNA from 1 species
AUGGCAGCGCCGCCGCCGCCGGCGCUCCCGGGCGAGCUCGUCGAAGAGAUCCUCCUCCGCCUCCCGCCCGACGAGCCGGCCUGCCUCCUCCGCGCCUCGCUCGUCUGCAAGACCUGGAGUGGCAUCGUCUCCCACCGCGCCUUCCGCCGCCACCUCCACGAGCUCCACGGGGCACCCCCUGUCCUCGGCUUCCUCCACAACUGGGACGACGAGGUCAUCCCCCGCUUCAUCCCCACCACCGCAUCAUCCUUCUCCCUCGCCGCUCCGCAUCGUCAGUUCUGGCGGGCCCUCGACAGCCGCCAUGGCCGCGCCCUCUUCCUCUCCGAGGGCGAUGGUACGCAGGAACUCCUCCUGUGGGAGCCAACCACGGGCGUCCGGCACCACGUACCGGUGCCCGCGGCGUACGACUACGAGACAGUGUUCCAGCCGAACGCGGCCGUGUUGUGCGCAGCGGACCCGUGCGACCACCGUGACUGCCUCGGGGGUCCUUUCUGCCUGGUCUUCGUCUUCUCCGUCGAGGAAGACACUGACGACGAGGAGGAGUAUGUCACGUCGGCAUGCGUAUACUCGUCGGAUACCGGCACGUGGGGCGAGCUGACCUCGAUGCACGUCGAUUUCUUGAUAGACUUUACAUAUUAUUCGCGGGUGCUCGUUGUGAGGUCUCUGGUGUACUUCAUGGCCACCGGUGGGUCGAUCCUGGAGUACGAUUUAGCAAGGCACGACCUGAAUGUGUUCGAACCACCAGACUAUGAUCUACCCCACUCCGAGAGACUUAACCUCAUUCUGGCAGAGGACGGUGGACUGGGAGUUAGCCAAGCGUUGGAUUCACAUCUCAAAUUGUGGUCAAGGGAGGUAGCAAGUAACGGAACUGAUGCACAAUGGGUGCUAAGCCGGGUCAUCAACCUGAAAAAUUUGCUUCCAAUGCGUGCUCUCGCUCAUGCAGAUUAUAGUUUGCUUGUGCUGGGCUUUGCCGAGGGAGCAAAUGUCAUUUUUGUCAACAUGGUUGCUGGCCUCUUCACAAUUGAGCUACACUCGGAGCGGGUGAGGAAGGUAUGCCAUAAUCAUGGUUUCUGUAAUUUGGUUCCAGUUAUCGGCUUCUACACUCCGCGUUCUAGGCUGGAAGCACUCGGAGAUGAACAUCAUGACCUGCUGCCGCCACUGAACAUUACUGAGGAGGUGGGUGGUGAGGAGGAGGAUAAAACACUACAGCGGGCGCGAAAGCUGUUUGAUAAGUGGUGGAAGGACAUCGAAGAGGGGGGCUUCACCAACACCACUGACUUUUUCAGCCACGCCCUUGAGAUCAGGGUUCCGCUAUCUCCGGGGUGGGCUAGCAUAUUAUGCAGAUGUGGACGUGCCUUGCUAUGCAAAGCUAUGAAGGCAACCAAUCCUUCCAGAAAUGGUUCAAAGAGUUCAUCAAAUGAAGAAUCAAUCAAAAGUACGGCUACAGCCAGCAAAGACGAUAGUGAGUGCUCAGAGGCCUUUGGUAGCAAUGUUGAGCAAGCACCUUCAGAGAAAGUUGAUUCUGAAGAAGGGAAAAACAUGAAUGGCAAAAAUCAGGAGGAUAGGAAUGUGGCAGGUGGCGGUGACGAUUCUGAUUUGGAUCUGGCCUGGAAAAUGUUGCAUGUUGCAAGAGCGAUAGUUACCAAGAGCCCCGACAUGACAAUGGAGAAAGUUGAUAUAUUUCAUGGUCUAGCUGAAGUCUGCAAGAAAAGAGAGGACAGGGACAACGCAAUUGGCUACUACUCCAAAUCUUUAGCCAUCUUGGAGCAUUUGGUUAGGCCUGACCAUAUUCGAAUUGUUGACCUGUAUCCUUUUCGUGGUGGAUUUGUUCAUCUAAGGCAAUGUAGUUAUCUGGCGGACCCGUGCGACCACCGUGACUGCCUCGGGGGUCCUUUCUGCCUGGUCUUCGUCUUCUCCGUCGAGGAAGACACUGACGACAAGGUGGAGUAUGUCACGUCGGCGUGCGUAUACUCGUCGGAUACCGGCACGUGGGGCGAGCUGACCUCGAUGCACGUCGAUUUCUUGAUAGACUUUACAUAUUAUUCGCGGGUGCUCGUUGUGAGGUCUCUGGUGUACUUCAUGGCCACCGGUGGGUCGAUCCUGGAGUACGAUUUAGCAAGGCACGACCUGAAUGUGUUCGAACCACCAGACUAUGAUCUACCCCACUCCGAGAGACUUAACCUCAUUCUGGCAGAGGACGGUGGACUGGGAGUUAGCCAAGCGUUGGAUUCACAUCUCAAAUUGUGGUCAAGGGAGGUAGCAAGUAACGGAACUGAUGCACAAUGGGUGCUAAGCCGGGUCAUCGACCUGAAAAAUUUGCUUCCAAUGCGUGCUCUCGCUCGUGCAGAUUAUAGUUUGCUUGUGCUGGGCUUUGCCGAGGGAGCAAAUGUCAUUUUUGUCAACACGGUUGCUGGCCUCUUCACAAUUGAGCUACACUCGGAGCGGGUGAGGAAGGUAUGCCAUAAUCAUGGUUUCUGUAAUUUGGUUCCAGUUAUCGGCUUCUACACUCCGCGUUCUAGGCUGGAAGCACUCGGAGAUGAACAUCAUGACGUGCUGCCGCCACUGAACAUUACUGAGGAGGAGGGUGGUGAGGAGGAGGAUAAAACACUACAGCGGGCGCGAAAGCUGUUUGAUAAGUGGUGCAAGGACAUCGAAGAGGGGGGCUUCACCAACACCACUGACUUUUUCAGCCACGCCCUUGAGAUCAGGGUUCCAGUAUCGCCGGAGUCUGCUAGCACAUUUUACAGAUGUGGACGUGUGUUUCUAUUCAAAGCUAUGAAGGCAACCAAUCCUUCCAGAAAUGGUUGGAAGAGUUCGUCAAAUGAAGAAUCAAUCAAAAGUACGGCUACAGCCAGCAAAGACGAUACUGAGGGCUCAGAGGCCUUUUGUAGCAAUGCUGAGCAAGCACCUUCAGAGAAAGUUGAUGCUGAAGAAGGGAAAAACUUGAAUGGCAAAGAUCAGGAAGAUGAGAAUGUGGCAGGCGGUGGUGACGAUUCUGAUUUGGAUCUGGCCUGGAAAAUGUUGAAUGUUGCAAGAGCGAUAAUCACCAGGAGCCCUGACAUGACAAUGGAGAAAGUUAAUAUAUAUCAUGCUCUAGCUGAAGUCUGCAAGAAAAGAGAGGACAGGGAUAACACAAUUGGUUACUACUUUAAAGCUUUAGCCAUCUUGGAGCAUUUGGUUAGGCCUGACCAUAUUCGGAUUGUUAUCCUGUAUCCUCUUCGUGGUGAUUCAUUAUCAUGUGGACUUGUUCAUCUAAGGCAAUGUAGUUAUCGGUCUAUAUUUAGUGGAAACUGCUCAAACAGUAUCUCCUGUCCACAAUGUAUGCAAGUCAGCAUACAGAAUCUGAAAAACGUCAAGGAAGCGUUGUUGGCUGAUAAUAAUGUUUACACAUCUGCUGCUGAAGGAAGCUCAGGAAAUCGCAGUCCAGAAGAUGAGAUAUCUUUUCUUACUAGAGUAUUGGCUCGACUCCAGAAGAAGCUUAAAGGACUGGAGCAAGCAAUGUCAACCCCAAGCUCUGGAGUAGAUAGGACUAUGAAGAAGGUUGUCUCAAUGCCGAGUCAGGAGCAGAACGUCAAGAAUACUGUGGAAGGUGCUGCAUCUUUGACUUCUUCACAGAUGGCCGGAUCAAACCACAGCUUCCGUUCCCCAACUAUGUGUACAGCAGCAACAACAGGAAGCAUCGGAAGUGGUGUAAUAUUUCGUGUGAGGAACGUCUAUUUUUUCUUAUAUACUUCUCUUCAUAAGAAUGCUAAGCAUGUCCAUAACCGCGUGGUAUUCCUCUUCGGCGUCAUCUUCUUCGAGGACGACUCCGACGACGAGCAAUAUGUCACGUCGGCAUGCGUAUACUCAUCGGAGACUGCCGCCUGGGGCGAGCUGACCUCGUUGCACGGCGAGUUCGGCAACUUUGAAUACUUUUCCAGCGUGCUCGUUAGGAGGUCUCUACUCUACUUCAUGUCUGACGUUAAGGUUAUCCAAGAGUAUGACUUGGUCAGGCACAGCCUAGCUGUGUUUAACCCUCCCAACUUGUGCGAGUUCAACACCGAGGAGAGAAUUAACCUCAUGCUGGCCGAGGAUGGUGGACUGGGAGUCUGCGAAGACUUGGAUCAACAUCUGAAAUUGUGGUCAAGGGUGCUGAGUGACGGCGCCGAUGCCCGAUGGGUACUGAGCCGGGUCAUCAACCUGAAUGUUUUGCUUCCAAAUGAUGCUUUUGCGAAUGCAACUAGUUCAGUGCAAGUGUUGGGAUUUGCCGAGGGAGUGAAUGUCAUUUUCAUUAACACAGCUGCUGGCCUCUUCUCAAUCGAACUAUACAAUCAGAGCGGGCAAGGAAGUAAGGGGUGCAAGGCUGUUGAGGAGAGGGACUUCACCAACGCCAUUAACUGCUUCAGGCGCGCUCUCAAGAUCAGGGUUCUACAUUAUGGUGUACUUGCUCCGGAGUGUGCCAGCACAUUUUAUAGAUAUGGAAGUGCCUUGCUAAGCAAAGCUCUUGAAGCGACCAAUGCUUUGGGUAGUGUUUCAAAGGGUGCACCAAAUGAAGAAUCAGUCAAAAGUACAGCUACAACUGGCAAAAAUGAUGCUGCAGGGAGCUCAAAGGCCUCUAGUAGCAAUACUGAGCAUGUUCCAUCUUUGGAGAAAGGUUAUUCUGAAGGAAUACCUCUCCUCAUGGCUUGCUUUGCCUUUGUAAACCUCGGCCUAAUGGCCACGUUUGAGUAA